CUGACCAUAUCAGGUUGAAACAUCAGUUCUCAUCUGAACACUGAAGUUAAGCAGUAUUAAGCCUGGUCAGUACCUAGAUGAGUGACCACUUGGGAAUACCAAGUGCUGUAAG